GCAAGUCGAACGGUAACAGAUAGAGCUUGCUCUAUGCUGACGAGUGGCGCACGGGUGAGUAAUAUAUAGGUAACGUGCCUCUAAGAGGGGGAUAGCCACUGGAAACGGUGAUUAAUACCCCAUAUGCCUCUAAUACAUAAGUAUGCGAGGGAAACGUUUUUUCGCUUAGAGAUCGGCCUAUUUCCUAUCAGCUUGUUGGUAGUGUAAGAGACUACCAAGGCUAUGACGGGUAGCGGGUUUGAGAGGAUGAUC
rnacentral:rRNA from 1 species